rnacentral:lncRNA from 1 species
GAGAAAUCAAGUCUCUAACCUCUCAAGAAGCUCCAAACUUAGCUCCAAUCCAAGUGGGGUGGGAGAUCUCCUCAGCCACAAGCUCCUCUCCAAGCUCUAAGCCAUCAACAAUGGUGGAGAAGCCACCAAGAUGCAAAAAGAGGAGAGAAAACCCAAAUAAAAACCAAGCAAAGGGGGUAAAAAUGCAAAGAAAGGGAGAGAGAGCUCCUCUCACCUUCUCCUCCUCAGGUCCCAGCACAAAAAAAGCCCUAAGGGGCGUGGGUGCUGUUAUAGAUAGGCUACAAUCGCGAAAAACCCCCUGCAGACCAAACUGCACAAAAACUGCCUCCUUGUACCGGUACACGGGUUCUUGUACCGGUACAAGGCCGACGAAAAUGCAAACCCAAAGCUCGGGUUGCUCGGUCUGCGGC